CUUAAUGGCACCUCUACUGGCUUCGAAUUUGAUUCACCAAUCAAAUCCAAUUCUAUGUAUGUCGGUCCUUUCAUCUCAUGAACUUUAUCAAGUUCAAUUUUACAGAUAUUAGUUCCUUCAUCAAAGAACUUUUUCAAAAAGACUGCCCGACUGCUGACAAACACCUUUUAUUCUGCAGUGAGAUAGAAGUAGUAUCUUUUAGUUUUCUUUGGAUACCCUAAGAACAAGCAUCUAUUAGACUUCGGUCCAAGCUUAUCUGUCUUUAAAUACGUGACAUAAGCUGAACACCUUUAGACUCUAAGG
rnacentral:lncRNA from 1 species